rnacentral:rRNA from 1 species
AAUAAAUAAUAAUAAGUGCGUAUAACGGAUGCCUUGGCACAUAACUCCGAUGAAGGACGUAGUAGACUGCGAUAAGCUUCGGCGAGCUGUCAAUCAAGCUUUGACCCGGAGAUCUCCGAAUGGGAUAACCCUUCCGAUGUUACAAUCGGAAACUCCAUGCUGAACACAUAGGCAUGGGAGAGGAUACUCAGUGAACUGAAAUAUCUCAGUAGCUGAGGAAAAGAAAUCAACAGAGAUUCCCCCAGUAGCGACGAGCGAAGAGGGACUAGGCCAAACCCCCGCCUUGGCGGGGGGGUUGUAGGACUCCAAUAUCGGUCAUGCAUAGUUAGCUGAAGUCUUUGGAAAGAGACGCCAUAGUGGGUAAUAGCCCCGUAAGCGAAAACUUUGUAUGAUCGUAGGAGUAUCCUGAGUAGGGUCGGACACGUGAAAUCCGGCUUGAAUCUGGGAGGACCACCUUCCAAGCCUAAACAGGUUAUGUGACCGAUAGUGAACUAGUACCGUGAGGGAAAGGUGAAAAGUACCCCGGGUAGGGGGAUGAAAUAGUACCUGAAAUUAUACGCACACAACGAGUCGGAGCCCCGCCUUGGCGGGGUGACGGCGUACUUUUUGUAGAACGGGCCAACGAGUUAGCUGUAUGGCGCAAGGCUAAGGGAGUAACACCCGGAGCCGCAGUGAAAGCGAGGGUUAAUAGCCCGAUUGAGUGUCAUGCACUAGACCCGAAACCGAGUGAGCUUACCAUGUCCAGGCUGAAGCAGCAGUAAAAUGCUGUGGAGGGCCGAACCAGGGAGUGUUGCAAAACUCUUGGAUGAGGUGUGGUAAGUGCUGAAAUUGCUAUCGAACUCGGAGAUAGCUGGUUCUCCUCGAAAUAGCUUUAGGGCUAGCGUCGAGUGUUAAAUAGCAGGGGUAGAGCUCUGUCAAGGCUAGGGCCCGAAAUAAGGGUACCAAACCUUAAUAAACUUCGAAUACUGCUAUGUAUUUCUCGGCAGUCAGACAGUGACAUCUAAGUGCCAUUGUCAAAAGGGAAACAGCCCAGAUCGUUGUUUAAGGUCCCAAAUAGGUUCUCAGUGGUAAAGGCUGUAGAAUUGCGUAGACAACCAGGAUGUUGGCUUAGAAGCAGCCACUCAUUCAAAGAGUGCGUAAUAGCUCACUGGUCGAGUGAUUCUGCGCCGAAAAUGUAACGGGGCUUAAGAACCUAACCGAAAACACGAAUUCUUCGCCAGGACUUUGUAUGUCAGGCGUCCCCCUUCGCUCAUUUUAUGAGAUACGGGAGGACAUUCUUCGCCUUCAAUCUUGAAGAGCGGCCUGGCAUUCGAAGCCUUGGCGAAGAGUGGUAGAGGAGCGUUGCGUAGGCCGAUGAAGUCGGAUCGUAAGAUCCGGUGGAGGUAUCGCAAGUGAGAAUGUUGGCAUAAGUAACAUAAGCAAGGUGAAAAUCCUUGCCACCGUAAGCCCAAGGUUUCCCCAGCCAUGUCAAUCAACUGGGGGUUAGUCGGUCCUAAGAUGAGGCUGAAAAGCGUAGUCGAUGGAUAACAGGUUAAUAUUCCUGUACAAUACAUGUUUCGCCAGAGCAAUACAGGAGGGCGAAUAAAUGCUAUAGAUUGUCCUUCGGGAGAAUUUUGAUCGUUUCUUCAACUGAAUGUGGCGCUAGCGGAGGGGGGACGCGGUAGGAUGGUAGUAGCUGGUUAAUGAUUCCAGUACAAGCAGUAAGUUUAUGUUCUCUUAGGUAAAUCCGGGAGAAUUCGCGAGCUGUUAUGUCAAGGCUGUUUCUUCGGAUUCGGCCAAGUAUUUCCCAUUCUGCUGACUAGAAAAUCCUCGUCGCGAGAAGCAUGUGUUACCGUACCGCAAUCCAACACAGGUGGGCGGGUAGAGUAUACUCAGGUGAUCGGAUUAACCACUGUUAAGGAACUCGGCAACAGAAGCGUCCGUAACUUCGGGAUAAGGACUGCCUUGUUAGGUUUUAUAUCUGGCAAGGCCGCAGCGAAUGAACCCAAGCAACUGUUUAUCAAAAACACAGGUCUGUGCAAAGUCGUAAGACGACGUAUACAGGCUGAUGCCUGCCCAGUGCCAGAAGGUCACGAGGAGGGGUGCAAGCUCUGAAUCUAAGCCCUGGUGAACGGCGGCCGUAACUAUGACGGUCCUAAGGUAGCGAAAUUCCUUGUCGGGUAAGUUCCGACCCGCAUGAAUGGCAUAAUGAUUUGGGUACUGUCUCAACAGUGGUUCCGGUGAAAUUGCAGAAACGGUAAAAAUGCCGUUUAGACACAGUAGGACGGAAAGACCCCGUGCAGCUUUACUAUAGCUUGACGUUGGCACGAGGCAUGACUUGCGCAGGAUAGGUGGGAGGCUUUGAAGUCGCGACUUUGGUUGCGGUGGAGCCACCCUUGAGAUACCACCCUUGUUAUGCUUUGUGUCUAACCUGGACCUUCAAUUGUUCUUCAACCCCCGCUAGGCGGGGGCAAGUUCGAAGGCACUGAACAAUCAGUUAUUGGUUAGAUGUACGUUAUUGUCUUUUUUUGUCUGAUAGAGGUUCAUUUGCCUCUCUAAAUAAUUAAAUGACGAUGACGUAACAUUUAUCAUGAAUCAUGAUCAAACCAAUAACUACAACUGUUCAGUGUCCUGGAGACCAAUUGCAGGUUCAGGGACAACGUUUGGUGGGUAGUUUGACUGGGGCGGUCGCCUCCUAAAGAGUAACGGAGGCGCGCAAUGGUUGGCUUCGUCCGGAUGGAAAUCGGACUGAAAGUGUAUUCGCAUAAGCCAGCCUGACUGUGAGACUUACAAGUCGAACAGGCACGAAAGUGGGUGAAAGUGAUCCGGUAGUUCCACGUGGGUGGGCUAUCGCUCAACGGAUAAAAGUUACGCCGGGGAUAACAGGCUGAUAGUUUCCAAGAGCUCACAUCGACGAAACUGUUUGGCACCUCGAUGUCGGCUCGUCGCAUCCUUGGGGUGAAGCAUCUCCCAAGGGUAUGGCUGUUCGCCAUUUAAAGCGGUACGCGAGCUGGGUUCAGAACGUCGUGAGACAGUUCGGUCCAUAUCCUCUGUGUCCGUAGGAAGAUUGAGAAAAUUUGUCCCUAGUACGAGAGGACCGGGAUGAACGAACCUCUGGUGCGCCAGUUGUCGUGUCAACGGCAUAGCUGGGUAGCUACGUUCGGUUGUGAUAACCGCUGAAAGCAUCUAAGCGGGAAGCCAUUUUCAAGAUGAAUUUUCCCUAUGAGCCUCCCGGGAGACUACCGGGUUGAUAGGCUGCAGGUGUAAGCCCAGUAAUGGGUUAGCCGAGCAGUACUAAUAGGCCAUUGUAUUUAUUUU